rnacentral:tRNA from 1 species
GUCCGCGUGGCCUAACGGAUAAGGCGUCUGACUUCGAAUCAGAAGAUUUCAGGUUCGAAUCCUGGUGCGGAUG